rnacentral:rRNA from 1 species
AUUGAACGCUGGCGGCAGGCCUAACACAUGCAAGUCGAGCGGAGCGGCGGACGGGUGAGUAAUGUCUGGGAAACUGCCUGAUGGUGGGGGAUAACUCCUGGAAACGGUAGCUAAUACCGCAUACUAUCAGAUGAGCCUAGGUGGGAUUCGCUAGUUGGUGGGGUAAAGGCUCACCAAGGCGACGAUCCGUAACUGGUCUGAGAGGAUGAGCAGUCACACUGGAACUGAGACACGGUCCAGACUCCUACGGGAGGCAGCAGUGGGGAAUAUUGGACAAUGGGCGCAAGCCUGAUCCAGCCAUGCCGCGUGUGUGAAGAAGGUCUUCGGGUUGUAAAGCACUUUAAGUUGGGAGGCGUUACCCACAGAAUAAGCACCGGCUAACUUCGUGCCAGCAGCCGCGGUAAUAC